ACUUGUGGGCAGAGCAACUAGACACUCAGCUUCUCUCAAAUCGUAGUUGAAAUUCUAAACCAAGUGUGUUCCUUACUACUUCUUAGAUUACAAGGGAACAGAAGCGUAUGCCAAUACAAUAAACAUAAGAAAAUCUCAACCACAUCAUAUGAAAUCCUGCAUGGGUCAAUCAUCUUCUUACAGGGGGUACAGCACCCCGACCAGGUGCUGCUCCACGACCUGCUGCCUGAGCUUUAGCACGCAUUGCCAUAGCACGUCCCCUUCCAACACCAAGUGAUGAACCUUUGCCCUUAAUUCUAGCUUCUAGACGCUUGAACAUGGGAGCAUUCUUA
rnacentral:misc_RNA from 1 species